rnacentral:rRNA from 1 species
GCAGUCGAGCGGACAGAUGGGAGCUUGCUCCCUGAUGUUAGCGGCGGACGGGUGAGUAACACGUGGGUAACCUGCCUGUAAGACUGGGAUAACUCCGGGAAACCGGGGCUAAUACCGGAUGGUUGUUUGAACCGCAUGGUUCAAACAUAAAAGGUGGCUUCGGCUACCACUUACAGAUGGACCCGCGGCGCAUUAGCUAGUUGGUGAGGUAACGGCUCACCAAGGCAACGAUGCGUAGCCGACCUGAGAGGGUGAUCGGCCACACUGGUACUGAAACACCCCCCAAACUCCUACGUGAGGCAGCAGUAGGGAAUCUUCCGCACGGAACAAAAGUCUGACGAACAAACCCCGCGUGAGUGAUGAAGGUUUUCGAAUCCAAAACUUUUUUGGUUGGGGAGAAAAAAUAACCGUUGAAAAAGGGGGGUCCCUUCCCGGAACGUAAACCGAAAACCCACGGCAAAUUCCAUGCCAUCCACCCGCCGUAAUACGUAUGUGGCAAGCGUUGUCAAGAAAUAUUGGGCGUAAAGGGCGUGGCAGGGGGUUUCUUAAAUUCUGAUGUGAAAACCCCCGGCUCAACCGGGGAGGGUCAUUGGAAACUGGGGGAAUUUGAGUGCACAAUAAGAGGGGUGGAAC